CUCUGCGCCGAAAAUGUACCGGGGCUAAAUACACCACCGAAGCUGCGAAUUGAUACCAAUGGUAUCAGUGGUAGGGGAGCGUUCUAAGUGCAGUGAAGUCAGACCGGAAGGACUGGUGGAGCGCUUAGAAGUGAGAAUGCCGGUAUGAGUAGCGAAAGACGGGUGAGAAUCCCGUCCACCGAAUGCCUAAGGUUUCCUGAGGAAGGCUCGUCCGCUCAGGGUUAGUCAGGACCUAAGCCGAGGCCGACAGGCGUAGGCGAUGGACAACAGGUUGAUAUUCCUGUACCACCUCUUUAUCGUUUGAGCAAUGGAGGGACGCAGAAGGAUAGAAGAAGCGUGCGAUUGGUUGUGCACGUCCAAGCAGUUAGGCUGAUAAGUAGGCAAAUCCGCUUAUCGUGAAGGCUGAGCUGUGAUGGGGAAGCUCCUUAUGGAGCGAAGUCUUUGAUUCCCCGCUGCCAAGAAAAGCUUCUAGCGAGAUAAAAGGUGCCUGUACCGCAAACCGACACAGGUAGGCGAGGAGAGAAUCCUAAGGUGUGCGAGAGAACUCUGGUUAAGGAACUCGGCAAAAUGACCCCGUAACUUCGGGAGAAGGGGUGCUUUCUUAACGGAAAGCCGCAGUGAAUAGGCCCAAGCGACUGUUUAGCAAAAACACAGGUCUCUGCGAAGCCGUAAGGCGAAGUAUAGGGGCUGACACCUGCCCGGUGCUGGAAGGUUAAGGAGAGGGGUUAGCGUAAGCGAAGCUCUGAACUGAAGCCCCAGUAAACGGCGGCCGUAACUAUAACGGUCCUAAGGUAGCGAAAUUCCUUGUCGGGUAAGUUCCGACCCGCACGAAAGGUGUAACGAUUUGGGCACUGUCUCAACCAGAGACUCGGUGAAAUUAUAGUACCUGUGAAGAUGCAGGUUACCCGCGACAGGACGGAAAGACCCCGUGGAGCUUUACUGUAGCCUGAUAUUGAAUUUUGGUACAGUUUGUACAGGAUAGGCGGGAGCCAUUGAAACCGGAGCGCUAGCUUCGGUGGAGGCGCUGGUGGGAUACCGCCCUGACUGUAUUGAAAUUCUAACCUACGGGUCUUAUCGACCCGGGAGACAGUGUCAGGUGGGCAGUUUGACUGGGGCGGUCGCCUCCUAAAGUGUAACGGAGGCGCCCAAAGGUUCCCUCAGAAUGGUUGGAAAUCAUUCGUAGAGUGCAAAGGCAUAAGGGAGCUUGACUGCGAGACCUACAAGUCGAGCAGGGACGAAAGUCGGGCUUAGUGAUCCGGUGGUUCCGCAUGGAAGGGCCAUCGCUCAACGGAUAAAAGCUACCCCGGGGAUAACAGGCUUAUCUCCCCCAAGAGUCCACAUCGACGGGGAGGUUUGGCACCUCGAUGUCGGCUCAUCGCAUCCUGGGGCUGUAGUCGGUCCCAAGGGUUGGGCUGUUCGCCCAUUAAAGCGGUACGCGAGCUGGGUUCAGAACGUCGUGAGACAGUUCGGUCCCUAUCCGUCGUGGGCGUAGGAAAUUUGAGAGGAGCUGUCCUUAGUACGAGAGGACCGGGAUGGACGCACCGCUGGUGUACCAGUUGUUCUGCCAAGGGCAUAGCUGGGUAGCUAUGUGCGGAAGGGAUAAGUGCUGAAAGCAUCUAAGCAUGAAGCCCCCCUCAAGAUGAGAUUUCCCAUAGCGUAAGCUAGUAAGAUCCCUGAAAGAUGAUCAGGUUGAUAGGUUCGAGGUGGAAGCAUGGUGACAUGUGGAGCUGACGAAUACUAAUAGAUCGAGGACUUAACCAU
rnacentral:rRNA from 1 species